CCUACGGGCGGCAGCAGUGAGGAAUAUUGGUCAAUGGGCGCUAGCCUGAACCAGCCAAGUCGCGUGAAGGAUGACUGCCCUAUGGGUUGUAAGCUUCUUUUAUAUGGGAGUAAAGUGCAGUAUGUAUACUGCUUUGCAUGUACCUUAUGAAUACAGAUCGGCUAACUCCGUGCCAGCAGCCGCGGUAAUACGGAGGAUCCGAGCGUUAUCCGGAUUUAUUGGGUUUAAAGGGAGCGUAGGCGGGUGGUUAAGUCAGUUGUGAAAGUUUGCGGCUCAACCGUAAAAUUGCAGUUGAUACUGGCAGCCUUGAGUACAGGAGAGGUAGGCGGAAUUCGUGGUGUAGCGGUGAAAUGCUUAGAUAUCACGAAGAACUCCGAUUGCGAAGGCAGCCUGCUGGACUGUAACUGACGCUGAUGCUCGAAAGUGUGGGUAUCAAACAGGAUUAGAUACCCCGGUAGUC
rnacentral:rRNA from 1 species